GGAAAAGAUAAUCAAGCAAUGAAUUAGCGAACACCUAGAGGUCGAUUUCCUGCUUUCAUCCACCUCUCCCACCUUGUCAAAUCUUACAUGAUGCACUAUCACUUUAAAGCAUUGGCUGAAAAUUGGUUGAAGAAUGGAAUAAGAGACUGACAUCUAAGACAAUUCUUUAGGUCUAGGGCAUGUAGCCGGUGUACCUACACAACAGAGAGAAGGAGCCUUCUCAAAGUAGGGAAAACUAAAUGGGCAAAGAAACAGUUUUAGCUUCUGAUGUCCAAUGAGCCAUGAUGGCACAGUGGUUAAAGUACAGUACUGCAAGCUACUACUGUUGUCAGCUGCCUGCAAUUUGGCAUCUUGAAUAUCACCAGGCUCAAGGUUAGCUCAGCCUUCCAUCCUUCUGAGCAGGGGUUAAAUCCACUUACCUUUACUACCAGUUCAGUAGCAAUGUGAGUGCACAUGCGUGUGUAUUCGUACUUUGCUUGCAUUUGUCACCUCCGUGCAUGCACAGGACUUUCUGCGCAUGCUCAGAGCAUCAAAAUGACGGAUGGGCGGAGCCUGCUACUGAGCACACCUCGCAAGUGAGUAAGUGAACAGUGAGGUAAGCGAACAGCAAGGGGGGGGGAAUUCAUCGUGCCACACGAUUUAUAUUAGCUAGAA